rnacentral:rRNA from 3 species
GGACUCCAGGCGUUAACCUGUAGAGUUGAGAUGGAAACAGCCGGA